CUAGUUAUGCAUUAUAUUGACAUUUGACAGAAAGUUAAUGAAGUAUUGAUAGAGUAGUAUUUUUAUUUUACAAACAGGCUGAAGGGCAGCCAAAAGAGGGCGCCAGAGGUACCUGGUUCAUUGGUCCUGACAGGCACAUUUCUACAGACUCCUAUGUUUUGGCCUGAUGCCUCAUUUCUUUUGGGUUUUAAAGUAAGGCUGUAACAA